UAGGAUUCUUAAGAUUCCUAGGAAAUUUUCCUAAGAAUCUUAAGAUUCCUAGGAAUCCUAUGAAUCCUAGGAAAAUUGCAGGAAAUUCCACUUCGGAGAUUGUUUUCCUUAAACCUGCAGUGGAAUUUCCUGCAAUUUUC
rnacentral:snoRNA from 1 species